rnacentral:tRNA from 1 species
GGAAUUGAAUCAAAGGGGCCCUUUUAACUCAGUGGUAGAGUAACGCCAUGGUAAGGCGUAAGUCAUCGGUUCAA